CCGUAUGCGAAAACAUCGCUGUGGUACUAAGUUAGCGAAAAAGUAGGGCGGGGCACGUGAAACCUUGUCUGAACAUGGGGGGACCAUCCUCCAAGGCUAAAUACUCGUGAUCGACCGAUAGUGAACCAGUACCGUGAGGGAAAGGCGAAAAAGAACCCCGGGAGGGGAGUGAAAUAGAUCCUGAAACCGCAUGCAUACAAACAGUGGGAGCCGACUUGUUCGGUGACUGCGUACCUUUUGUAUAAUGGGUCAGCGACUUACGUUGUGUUGCGAGCUUAACCGAAUAGGGGAGGCGUAGCGAAAGCGAGUCUGAUAAGGGCGUUUAGUAGCACGGCGUAGACCCGAAACCGGAUGAUCUAUCCAUGGCCAGGAUGAAGGUGCCGUAACAGGUACUGGAGGUCCGAACCCACUAAAUGUUGAAAAAUUAGGGGAUGAGCUGUGGAUAGGGGGUGAAAGGCUAAACAAAUCCGGAAAUAGCUGGUUCUCCCCG
rnacentral:rRNA from 1 species